GGAGAGAUGGCCGAGCGGCUGAAGGCACACGCCUGCUAAGCGUGCGUAGGGGAAAACUCUACCGAGGGUUCGAAUCCCUCUCUCUCCGCCA
rnacentral:tRNA from 1 species